rnacentral:rRNA from 1 species
GACGAACCUUGCUAACGUUAUUCGGAAUUACUGGGCGUAAAGCGUGCGUAGACGGUUGCGUAAGUCAGAUGUGAAAGCCCCGGGCUCAACCUGGGAAUUGCAUUUGAGACUGCGUAGCUAGGGUGCGGAAGAGGGAAGCGGAAUUUCCGGUGUAGCGGUGAAAUGCGUAGAGAUGUGGAGGAAUACCGAUGGCGAAGGCAGCCCCCUGGGCCAAUACUGACGCUCAUGCACGAAAGCGUGGGGAGCAAACGAGG